CAAGAUGGAGGUCAGUGGACUACUAUUUGGAUGCCUGCCACCAUCCAUGUAAGAUGUGACUUGCUUCUCCUUGCCUUCUGCCAUGAUUGUGAGGACUCCCCAGCCACGUGGAACUUUGUUUUCCUCAGUAAAUAUUAGCAAUAACUUAAAUGUUUAUAAGAUUCAUCUCAUGGAUUCUUGGGGAUAUGCAUGGAAUCAGGUACAGACAGUGCAAAGGUGGUGUGCCUAGUGAGCUUGGAUGUAUCAAACAGCUGUAAGAAAAUCUCUCCAACCUUCUCUGAAUAAAGGAGGAAUGUGGUGUUUAUUGAGGAACAGGCAACCCUUACAUUUGAAUAAAAGAUGCCAUAUAUCUGAUGCCAUUUCCAGAGAACGUGCACAUAGUGGCCCUAAAGGCAUAGGAUAUUCUAAAGAUGUACCUUGUCCAUCUGAGUUAUCGGAAGUCAAGCCGUUAGGACUGUGCUCUUCUGAGCUCUGCCUGUAAAGCCCUGCAGACAACCUCCUCUCGGCAUGCUGCAGUCUCUCAUAGCCAGCUUGGUUGCAAAGGAACUCCAUCUGCUUUGCCAUCACCUUUUCAGGCUGCUGCUGAAAGUGGACUCACAGAGGGCUGUGUUCCAGUGGACAUGUUAUUCAUUCCGUCUAAGCAGAAGGAUUCCAACCUCACUUACUAACUAGCUGAAGAAACGUUUCCCUAGAGAUUUCAUUCCAAAUGGUAGGUUCCUUAAGGCACACCUAAGCUAGCAGGCGAUCUUUUUCUCCAUGUCCAUCUCAUAUAUUCUAGGAAUUAAAGUUCAAAAUCUGUUUUUUAAUGUUUAACAUACCCUGUAAGGAGGAACACUAUUUAAGGACAACAGAUUAUCUUGAUUACUUCUAUGCAAUGUGUAUACUGCUAUUUUUUUUUUAAAUCAAAUAAGUAACUAUCCUUUAAGGGGGAACAACCUACUACAUAAAUAAGAGCUUUCCAGGUAGAAAAAUCAGACAAGUCAAUGAAUUAUAACUUCAUUCCACCCAAGCCUUCAUGUAUAGAUCAGGAAAACACAGUAUUUAGGAACGAAAGAUCUUACUGAGCUUGAACACAGCACUACUUGUAUUAGUGUACCCUAAUGCAUUAAUAAUGACAAGCAAAAAAAUGUUUCUCUUUCCUUUACAUGUCAAAUUA
rnacentral:lncRNA from 1 species